GUUUAUGUUGCUUUGUUUCCUGUAUGUACUGCAAAGGAUAGUUAGUAAAGUCACACAACAGUUAGACUUUGACCACAGGAGCCAAGCCCACACUCA
rnacentral:lncRNA from 11 species